rnacentral:rRNA from 1 species
AUUGAACGCUGGCGGCAUGCUUUACACAUGCAAGUCGAACGGUAACAGGCCUUCGGGUGCUGACGAGUGGCGAACGGGUGAGUAAUGCAUCGGAACGUGCCCAAUCGUGGGGGAUAACGUAGCGAAAGUUACGCUAAUACCGCAUAAGCCCUGAGGGGGAAAGUGGGGGACCGCAAGGCCUCACGCGAAUGGAGCGGCCGAUGUCAGAUUAGCUAGUUGGUGGGGUAAAGGCCCACCAAGGCGACGAUCUGUAGCGGGUCUGAGAGGAUGAUCCGCCACACUGGGACUGAGACACGGCCCAGACUCCUACGGGAGGCAGCAGUGGGGAAUUUUGGACAAUGGGCGCAAGCCUGAUCCAGCCAUGCCGCGUGAGUGAAGAAGGCC